GUAAAAACAGGAGCGUUUGUGGCUGACUGCCCUAUAGAUCACUCUGUGGUCAAGUGUAAAAACAGGAGCGUUUGUGGCUGACUGCCCUAUAGAUCACUCUGUGGUCAAGUGUAAAAACAGGAGCGUUUGUGGCUGACUGCCCUAUAGAUCACUCUGUGGUCAAGUGUAAAAACAGGAGCGUUUGUGGCUGACUGCCCUAUAGAUCACUCUGUGGUCAAGUGUAAAAACAGGAGCGUUUGUGGCUGACUGCCCUAUAGAUCACUCUGUGGUCAAGUGUAAAAACAGGAGCGUUUGUGGCUGACUGCCCUAUAGAUCACUCUGUGGUCAAGUGUAAAAACAGGAGCGUUUGUGGCUGACUGCCCUAUAGAUCACUCUGUGGUCAAGUGUAAAAACAGGAGCGUUUGUGGCUGACUGCCCUAUAGAUCACUCUGUGGUCAAGUGUAAAAACAGGAGCGUUUGUGGCUGACUGCCCUAUAGAUCACUCUGUGGUCAAGUGUAAAAACAGGAGCGUUUGUGGCUGACUGCCCUAUAGAUCACUCUGUGGUCAAGUGUAAAAACAGGAGCGUUUGUGGCUGACUGCCCUAUAGAUCACUCUGUGGUCAAGUGUAAAAACAGGAGUGUUUGUGGCUGACUGCCCUAUAGAUCACUCUGUGGUCAAGUGUAAAAACAGGAGCGUUUGUGGCUGACUGCCCUAUAGAUCACUCUGUGGUCAAGUGUAAAAACAGGAGCGUUUGUGGCUGACUGCCCUAUAGAUCACUCUGUGGUCAAGUGUAAAAACAGGAGCGUUUGUGGCUGACUGCCCUAUAGAUCACUCUGUGGUCAAGUGUAAAAACAGGAGCGUUUGUGGGCGCCUCCCCUCUAUAUUGGUCCUUCAUGAACUCAGGUGAGACAGAAAAGAAAUUCACUUAACAAGAACAUGUGUUUUUUUUUGCAGUGGUGUAAAGUACUUUAAAGUACUACUUGAGUUGAUUUUGGUGUAUCUGUACUUUACUUUAAUAUAUAUAUUUUUGACAACUUUUACUUUUACUUCACUACAUUCCUAAAGAAAAUAUUGUGCUUUUUACUCCAUACGCUGUCCCUGAAAACCCAAAGUACUCAAUACAUUUUGAAUGCUUAGCCGAACAAGAAAAUUGUCAAAUUCUAGCACUUAUCAGGAGAAGACGUGGUCAUCCCUACUGCCUCUGGCUUGGCGGACUCACUGAACAGAAAUGCUCUUUUAUAAAUAAUGUAUGAGUGUUGGACUUGUCCCCUGGCUCUCUGUAAAUAAAACAAGAACGUGGUGCCGUCCGCUUUGCUUAAUAUAAGGAAUUUGAAAUGAUUUAUACUUGUACUUCUACUUUUGAUACACAAGUAUAUUUUAGAACCAAAUACUUAUAGAUAUUAAAAACCAAAUACUUUUAGACUUUUACUCAAGUAGUAUUUUACUGGGUGACUUUCACUUGAGUAACUUUCUAUUAAGGUAUCUAUACUUUUACUCAAGUAUGACAAUUGGGUACUUAUUCCACCACUGGUUUUGUGUAGAAUUUCAGCCGCGAAUGGCUGCUAUGCUAAUAGUCCAAGGCAAGCAUUCAUUAAUCAGUUCUUUUUGCUAAAUGUAGUUUUGCGUUCGUUUUUUAAAUGCAAAUUAGGGCCUGCUUUUUAGUUAAUACUGCUGGCUUGAGUUUAACACACCAUAUAAGAGCAGGGAAUAAACAAUAAGAGGAAAUAAACAAUAAGAGGAAAUAAACAAUAAGAGGAAAUAAACAAUAAGAGGAAAUAAACAAUAAGAGGUGAGAAUAAACCAUAAGAGGUGAGAAUAAACCAUAAGAGGUGAGAAUAAACCAUAAGAGGUGAGAAUAAACCAUAAGAGGUGAGAAUAAACCAUAAGAGGUGAGAAUAAACCAUAAGAGGUGAGAAUAAACCAUAAGAGGUGAGAAUAAACCAUAAGAGGUGAGAAUAAACCAUAAGAGGUGAGAAUAAACCAUAAGAGGUGAGAAUAAACCAUAAGAGGUGAGAAUAAACCAUAAGAGGUGAG